CUUAGUGUUUAUUCAUAGUCAUCAUUGAAGUACAACUUGGUAAACUACAAAACACAUCAAAUUCAGUUAUAAAAAUUUGAGUAACAAAGGUAUACUAAUUAUUGUAUUGCCUGAAAGAGUGUCAUUGCUAUUAAAAGCAGUGAAGAAUUCAAGUACUCUGGAAGAAAAGAAAAUACGUAAGUAAAUGGUCAAUUAUUUGGCACAAAUCGGAGUUAAAGACAAAGGAGAUUGUAUAUUUUAUUUGCUAAGAAUAGUUUUUUAAAAUGGCCUAGUUGUAAAAUUAAACUAUGCAGGGAGAGGACAAAAAAUUGGAAUAGAAAAAAUGUUGAUUGCAUAUGCUGCUAUUGAAACUGUGAAGU
rnacentral:lncRNA from 1 species